CAAACUGCAGGAGGAGAUAGAUACUGUGUUCCCCAACAAGGUAACCCCCACACCAUGACCAAACCGCAGGAGGAGAUAGAUACUGUGUUCCCCAACAAGGUAACCCCCACACCAUGACUAAACUGCAGGAGGAGAUAGAUACUGUGUUCCCCAACAAGGUAACCCCACACCAUGACUAAACUGCAGGAGGAGAUAGAUACUGUGUUCCCCAACAAGAUAACCCCCACACCAUGACCAAACUGCAGGAGGAGAUAGAUACUGUGUUCCCCAACAAGAUAACCCCCACACCAUGACCAAACUGCAGGAGGAGAUAGAUACUGUGUUCCCCAACAAGAUAACCCCCACACCAUGACCAAACUGCAGGAGGAGAUAGAUACUGUGUUCCCCAACAAGGUAACCCCCACACCAUGACCAAACUGCAGGAGGAGAUAGAUACUGUGUUCCCCAACAAGGUAACCCCCACACCGUGACCAAACUGCAG
rnacentral:lncRNA from 1 species